ACUGGGUUGGCCGAGUGGUUAAGGCGUUGGACUUAAGUUCCAAUGGACAAGUGUCCGCGUGGGUUCGAACC
rnacentral:tRNA from 1 species